CGCACCAGCGGUGGAGCAUGUGGUUUAAUUCGAAGCAACGAGAAGAACCUUACCAAAUCUUGACAUCCUUUGACAACUCUAGAGAUAGAGCCUACCCCUUCGGGGGACAAAGUGACAGGUGGUGCAUGGUUGUCGUCAGCUCGUGUCGUGAGAUGUUGGGUUAAGUCACGCAACGAGCGCAACCCUUAAGCUUAGUUGCCAUCAUUAAGUUGGUCACUCUAAGUUGACUG
rnacentral:rRNA from 1 species